rnacentral:rRNA from 1 species
GACGGAGGUCCCGAGCGUUGUUCGGAAUUAUUGGGCUUAAAGCGUGUGUAGGCGGAUUUGUAAGUACCUUGUGAAAUCCCACGGCUUAACCGUGGAACUGCUUGGUAUACUGCUUAUCUUGGGCCACUUAGGGGUUACCGGAACAAACGGUGGAGCGGUGAAAUGCGUAGAUAUCGUUUGGAACGCCAAUGGUGA